UUGUCAUCAUGGGUUGCUCGUCGUCGAACCUCACCGCUGCCAGCACAAGCCACCGCAGCUCUCCGCCCUAGCUUGCCCACGCCUGUGCGAGCAACCGUAGCUCCCCGACGGUGCUCACCCACGCUGAUGCCCGAGCGAGCCACUUCGACUCGCCGCCGGUUCUCGUCCACGUCUGCAGGCGCCGGCGCAGUUCAUCCUCGCCUCGCGGAUGCCUGCGCUAGAUACUGCAGCUCGCUGCGGGUUCUCCCCCACGCCUGCGCGCGAUAGCGCAGCUCUCUGCGGGUCCUGAACAAGUGGCGUGAUGGCAGCAGCGGCCGGAGGAGGAGAUGGAUGCGUGUGUAGGUCCUGAAGAUGUUGAAUGCAAGCAACAUAGAGAACUGUCCAACACUACUUUCUUGUCAAUUUUUGCAUGUCCAGCCUUCUCGGAAGAUGGCAUUAGGCAGUUUACUUUCUCAUGGAGACCACUUCUGAUGCUACCUAGAUUGGCCGAUCUACUUUUUUCAUCAGUGACACUACUAUCCAUUUCAUGAGGAAGCACUUGGCAUAUCUGCUGUAGGAUCACAAUGUUCA